rnacentral:lncRNA from 1 species
GAUUUUUGGACCCCGUAGCUGAGUCAGAUUUGAUGCGACAAGAAAUUGUGGACUUACCAAACGAAUUUACAUCACCUUCACCAUAGCAGGGUUAUCGAGAUUACCUCCAUUGCAAAGUUCGCUCUCUCAAGUCGGCAUAUUCUGUGUACAGUCAUAAGGAAAUACAUUCCAUCUAGCUGUAAGUACUAGAAUAUUAUAUAUAUAGAUAGAUACAAAUACAUGGGCAUGUGUAUAUAUAUAUAUAUAUAUAUAUAUGUAUCACCGUGAUCACCGUGACCGACCAGACUAUCAGAUGUUGCUACACAUCGCUGGUCACAAUGCGCUUCGCUUUGUUUUUAGCCUUCAAAUGAUGCCACCCCGCUGGCUAAGCGAGCAGGCCAACAGAAGAAAGAGUGAGAGAAACUUGUGGCGAAAGAGUACAGCAGGGAACGCCACCAAACCCUGCCGGAGCCGCGUGGAGCUUUAGGUGUUUUCGCUCAAUAAACACUCACAAUGCCCGGUCUGGGAAUCGAAACCGCGAUCUUACAAGCGCGAGUCCGCUGCCCUAACCACUGGGCCAUUGCGCCUCCACACACACACACACACACACACACACACACACACACACACACACACACACACACAUAUAUAUAUAUAUAUAUAUAUAUAUAUAUAUAUAUAUAUAUAUAUAUAUAUACAUAUAUAUUCGAGGAGGUACCCAAAAGAAACUGGGAUUUUCAAUUUUAUUUUAUCCACUAAGAUUUAUAUGCUUUCACUUUUAUCUCCUUCAAAGUAUUCUCCAUUUGAAGCAAUUUUCGUGAUGUUUUUAUUCGUUCGGGAGGUCGACAAUCGCUGUCAACGAGGUUGGUCUUCAAACGACAAGUGACCAUUCCUAAAGCGUGAAAACCACUCGUAAACUUGUGUUUUGCUUAUGGCAGCUUUCUUGUCAGCUGUUUGAAGCACGAAAACUAGUUCGGCCGCCAUUUUCCCCAACAGAAAGCAGAAUUUCACGGAAGCACGCAUUUUCUUUGUUUCAGCCAUCGCAAAAAUCGACGAAGAGGGGGGAGAAGCACUACGUUGCAGCACGAGUGCAACUAAAGACACCGGUCGGCAGACUGAUGCCUGAGGGUCGCAUGAAGUGUGUUUUAGCGGUGGAAGUCUGAGCUAAAAGUGGCUUGCCCCGCAAGGAAUGUUUCCGGUUACUUUCGGGCAGCUCCCCGUAUAUAUAUAUAUAUAUAUAUAUAUAUAUAUAUAUAUAUAUAUAUAUAUAUAUAUAUAUAUAUAUAUAUAUAUAUUGUUAUAUUUCGGAAUGACCAUUUUGCCAUUUUAGCCAAUAAAAACACACGCACUAUAUAUUUGGUGUUACUUUGCUUCAGUGAUAUUUAUUUUUUACAUUAAUCUUAAUCUUAUUUCGGCCAGAAUUCUUUCAUCACACUCCUGUGACCGCAUCAGUGGUCCUUUGUUUUCUUCUUUCUUAUUGGCUAAACUGACAAAAUGACAAUUCCGAAAUAUAACAAUAUCUGUUUCAACACACAACUUCACAUAAAAAAUCUUGCACAACAAAUAUAUAUAUAUACAACAAAUAUAUAUACAACAAUAUAUAUAUAUAUAUAUAUAUAUAUAUAUAUAUAAAAUAUAUUAAUAAAUAAAACAUAUGCAUAUAUAUAUACAUAUAUGUAUGUACCUACCUCUAUAUGUAUAUAUACACGCAUAUAUGAGUACAGGACACCAAAAUAACGUCGAACACAAUGAGAAACGAAAUCAUAGACACAAACCCAAGGAACUAUACAUUUUUCUUAAACAACAAAAAUAGAGUACAAGACAAAUAACACAAGGAAAAAACUCCUUCUUCAGUCGCCAUGGUUUCAUCUACUCUACGUUUCGAAGGUGAAGGCAUACAUAUACAUAUAUUUGAUCGACUAAAAUCACUUUCAAUAGAUACCACACACACAGUAUGGUUGCGUUUCAAUAACUGAAUUUCGUGUAGGAAUAAAUGAAACAUUUCAUUUUGAAAGGAACAGCAAAUCAAGCAAUUAGGGGUUUAUACACGUCGCUCUUCAAAAAUAUUUGCGGCGUUUGCACAUUAAUUACUGCCAUCUCUGUUUUUCUAAUAAAUUGGGAUUAUUCCGUGGAAAAAGCUUCGAAUUACAGAAACCAAAUACAGUUUCAUGAAAAUGACGAGAAAUAAUGAAUACAUUUUCUCGUAUGAAAUUAGAAUUAUUGAAAACUACUUCGAGUAAUGCAGCCAUUAAAUUUAAUUUUCGAAUUAUCAAUUAUCUUUUUCCAGCUUCACUUAUUUAUUUGAUUGUUUUAGAAUAUCUAAUAUUAUUUACCUUAAAUAUUAAUUCAGCCAGAUGAUCAAUUUAAUAAACGGUAUGUAAAAUAAGAACUGUAAAUUACUGCUAUAUUAUUAUAAUUAUAUUAGUAGAGUUAAAGUCAGGAAAAGUCUAAAAUAUUUCUUCACACGCACGCAAACGCUCACACACACAUGCAGAAACACAUACACGUGUGUGUAAACAUGUAUAUAUAUGUGUGUGUGUGUAUGCAUAUGUAUAGCUAUACGGUUUAAAUCAAUAAUCGGAAUGUAUAUUAAUAUUUAAUACAUUAAUAACUAUGUAUCAUAUAUGUGUGUGUUUAUGAGGGUAUAUCUAUAUGUGUGCUUGCAUGCGUGUGAGUGUAUCCUAUAACCAGAGCACAUAUACAUUGAUAUUAAAUAUCGCUAUAAACAUAAAUAUGAGCCGCUUAAUUGACGUAGAAUCUGAAUUUAUUCAUUUUAUCAAAUUACUCAAUAUUAACUGUUUUUCGCAUAUUAAUGCGUAUGUUUAAAUUUUGAUAGGAAAACAUAAAGGGACUACCUUGGUCUAGAAUCUGAACUAGAAUUACUGCUAAACUAGAAUUACUGCACAAAAAACAUCUUUCCAUUCAGCUUGCCCCUUGGUUGACUGCGAAUUUCAACAAAUUAAAAGGACUUCAUCGUUAAUGGUGUGAAAAGUCUGGCUGCAUCCGAAAAAAAUAUAUAUUAUGAAACAAAAAUAAACACAAAUUUAUUACACGAAUCUGUUACCACCAUGACAGUCAACUAUUUGACGCCGAACACGAGUUUGAUGUUGAAUACAUCCACGAAUUUUCCGCUCAGAUUGCAAGACGGCUUCCCAAGACUGCAAGACGGCUUCGUGCAAAUCAUGCCUUGUUGGGUUUUUCAGUUCAACUUUAUCAGCCCAAACUUUGCAAAUGCCUUCAUCUAAUGGAUUCCACGUGUAAACAUGUGUUGAAUAGAACUCACUGAAUAAAUCUUAAUUAACGGUGUUGUCAAUUGUAUGCACCUGACAUAUGCUAACGUGUUCGCGGCCAGACUUUUCACACAGAGGAUAGAUUAUAAUCAAUGUGUUUUAUGGUGAUUCUGAUGAUCGUAGACGCCAAAUGUCAUUUAUUGAUCAAAUGUAGGGUUUUCUAUGAAUUCACUGAGGGAAGGUUAUGUCAUGUGUCGGCAGAACAAUGUUGUAUCGCUUCCUUUAUUUAAGAUUGCUGUAGAGUGAGAGACAUCACAUUAUUGUCCAUCUGAUAAACUAUAUACAGUGUUAAGUUGUUUUCUUGAUAUAAGUUCUUGUUGUUGACUGACGCUGUGAAAGAAAAUUUGGUUGUAAUGUCAACUAAUUCCUUUUGAUUCAUUAAGAAUUAAUGAUUGUUCAAAUACACUUUCUAGAGGAUUUUAAUUUUCCUGAAAAAAACACAGAUCCGAUCCUUUUGGUUGUAGUAGAUGCAAUGCUGAUUUCUUGAACUGUUUUUACUGUAAGAGUAUUAAAUUAGAUAUUAUAAGAAAGAGUGGAGGUGCAAUGGCCCAGUGGUUAGGGCAGCGGACUCGCAGUCGUAGGAUCGCGGUUUCGAUUCCCAGACCGGGCGUUGUGAGUGUUUAUUGAGCGAAAACACCUAAAAGCUCCACGGGGCUCCGGUAGAGGAUGGUGGUGAUCCCUGCUGUACUCUUUCACCACAACUUUCUCUCACUCUUACUUCCUGUUUCUGUUGUACCUGUAUUUCAAAGGGCCGGCCUUGUCACUCUCUGUGUCACGCUGAAUAUCCCCGAGAACUACGUUAAGGGUACACGUGUCUGUGGAGUGCUCAGCCACUUACACGUUAAUUUCACGAGCAGGCUGUUCCGUUGAUCGGAUCAACCGGAACCCUCGUCGUGGUAACCGACGGAGUGCUUCUAUUAUAAGAAAGAGAAUAUUAUAGAUAAGAGUGCUGGAGUUUUGACUCGACAAAUAUGGAGAACGUCUACAUAAUUAUCAAAUCGGUCAUGAGAAAUGAAAAUAUUUUGGGGAUAGGCGAAUAGUUUCAAAAUUUUAUAAGCAAGCGUCCAAUCGGAUUUCUGAAAUUAUGAGUAAGAAAUAUUUUGAAAUAGAUUUAGUUUACUUGUUAUCGUUUAUAUUUUACUUGUUUUACUCACUGGACCUCGGCUAUGCCACAGCCUUCAAGGGUUUUGUCGAACAAAUCGAUUUUUAAAGUCUAGUAUUCAUUCCAUCGUCUUUUUGCCGAACCUCUAAGUUACAGGGACGUAACACACACACACACACACACACACACACAAACACACACUCUCUCUCUCACACACACACAUACAAACAUGCGCACAUACACAGAGACAGACACACAUAUAUAAAUAUACGAUAGGCUUCUAGACAGUUUUCAGUUCCCAAAUUCCUUCACAAAUAUUUGGUGACUCCAGAGUUAGAAUACAAGACACAUGUGCCGUGGGGCGACAGCUGAAACCACAUUGUUACAAAGCGAGCUUCUUAACCAUGAAAAGUUUUUACUAAGAAUGUAGAAUAAGUGUGUUUGCGUUGUAGUGAUUCAAAGGGUUUUUCAAGCUACUAUUUCAGGCACCUUGUACUAUUCUUUGCCUCUUAAAACUUGAAAGAACCACUUAGUUUUGCAUAUUUAUAUACCAGCGAUACCAACUUCUCUUUGACUUCUAAGAGAGGAGUUUAUCGAUGAACUAAUUAUUUUGUCUAACUAGACCUGAGCUACAGAACUUAAUUUUCAUUACGUACAUAGUAUAUAGCAUGUACUUUUGAUAUAACAAUCCAAAACAGCGUAUAAUUAUAGAGAUACAGAUCUCUAUACAGGGAUUCGAUGUAUUACAGAAUGGCAUUAAUAUAAUUCACAAUAUAUAACAAUGCCCCAAGUUGCCACAGGAAGAAUAUAAGAAAUGGAUGUACGACCAGGUUGUAAAAGUUUUCCACAGAAAACUGUGCCAGAAAUGGGGACUUGAAGCUGGAAACACAUUUGUACCUGUUCCUUUCUUCUCCCUUCUGGGUUUAGUCUCCCUUCUUGGCGUGUUUCUGUUGAAGCUCGGCCUGUCUAUUAUUAUGUGAGUGGUUUUGUAAUCUGUCUCUGUGUCGUGUCAGUUCUAUGCUUUCAUAAUACCUUAACCGAGCCACUAUGUUCUGCUUGAAGAUGCUGGUAGAGCACUGACGAGCCUGUCUUCUCUUUCAGUUCCUACCAGUGUUCGCCUAUUCGCUCCCCUGUCUAUUCGUGCAAUCUCUACAAUGUUUCUUCAAUCAAAAGCUACUCAUCCAACCAAAAGAUAACAUUUUAAACAUUCUCUCCCUGCACAGAAAAGCAAUGGUAGCUUUAAUGCACAAAUAAAAAAGAAUUGUUAUUGGCGUUGAGCACUUGUUCUCGUUGUUCGAUAGUUGCGUAUAUAUAUAUAUAUAUAUAUAUAUACAUCUAAUAUAGGAUAAAAAUUUUAUCAAUGGCCAGCAUAUUAAAAAAUACCAUUAAAGGUUAAAUGUAUAAACAACUUAUUAAACAAGGGGAAAAGAAAAAAAAUUCUAAUGCCAAAUAUGCCGAAACUAGACACAACGUCCAUAACCAUAUAAUUCAUCAUUAUAAGCACGCGUCUCGAAGAAAGCCGACAGGAAUUUCUAAAAAAUUCCGUUAUUACCAUAUCGGACCCGAUUUCAGAGUUAAUUCAUAAGAACCUUCCCUUCAUCAGUGAUAAAUGCAGCAAAGAAAUAAAUGGAAGAAGCAAACACUAAGUCAUACUUAGUGUUUGCUUCUUCCAUGGAUAUGAGUAAGUAUUUCAUUUAUUUCUUUGCCGCAUUUAUCACUGAUGAAGAGAAGGUUCUUAAGGACUAACUCUGAAAUCGGGUCCGAUAUGGUAAUAACGGAAUUUUUUAGAAAUUCCUGUCGGCUUUCUUCGAGACACGUGCUUAUAGUGAUGAAUUAUAUGGUUAUUGAUGAUGUGUCUAUUUUCGCCAUAUUUGGCAUUAGAAUUUUUUUUUCUUUUGCUCUUGUUUAUAAGUUAUACAUAUAUAUGUAUAUAUAUACAUAUAUAUAUAUAUAUAUAUAUAUAUAUAUAUAUAUAUAUAUGAUUACUGUCAUGGUAGAUAAUGCUGGUGGUGAUGAUGGUGUUAUUGUUGGUGGCGGUGGUGGUAGUGGUGAGUAAGUGUAGUCAGGGAGUAAGUACAUUUGCUUAUAUUUCAAAUAAACAGCAAUUUUCAUUCUAAAGUUAGCGAAAUGAAAUGCGAUUUUGAUUAAAAUCUUGGCUUCCGGCUCUCUGCAAAGAGAACAUUAUUUUCUAUUUUGUCCAUCAAGAAACAGUUAUAACUCAACACAGACACACAGACACACACACCAACAAAAAUAUACAUUAACGCAAGCAUACACACAAUUACAACAGCACAAUAUAUGCCAUAUAUAUAUAUAUAUAUAUAUAUAUAUAUAUAUAUAUAUAUAUAUAUAUAUACAUACAUAUGUAUAUAUAUAUAUAUAUCAAAUGAAAUAAAAACAGAACACAAAGGAUGUUGCGGUACACGUGUUUCAAGCUUUAUAAAACAACCUAUUCUUACAUCAAUGUAUAAUCGACAUAACAACCUAUUCUUUAUAAAGCUUGAAACACGCGUACCGCGACAUCCUUUGCGUUCUGUUUUUUUAUUUCAUUUGAUGCAUAUACCCUGUCACCUCUGCUAACUAGCUGGCAUAUACAGGUGCUUACACUUAUCAAGUAUUCACCUGGAAUUCAUAUAUAUAUAUAUAUAUAUAUAUAUAUAUAAUAUUUAUCCAUCCAUCUAGCUAUAAAAGUAGACGACGAUACUUGGGGAGAUACAACCAUCCGUUUUUAUAUAAUUUUAAUGGAAGUUUGAACGGGUGGUUAAAAUCAUCUCAUUUAUAAAUAUCAAGGACCAAGUAUUCCGUGAAUUAAACUGAACAUAUUUCUUUAACCGAACAAUAAUUUUUGUCUAGAUGACAAGAAGUGACUAUUUGAUGAAUUUUGAUAAAUAGCAUGAACGAAACUCUCGACCCUUGCAAUAAAUGAGUGUUUAUGAAUGAGAGUUUAUAAAUGCUGCGUGGGCUAAAAUGUGCUUAAGCGCCAUACGCUAAAAAUAAUCAAAAGAGGGACGAAUCAGAUGAUUUCUCAUCUACUUUUACUUUGUUUUCAUCUCACUUGUUUUUAUUCAUCGACCCGAGAGAACACGGUCUGUCGGACUGAUUGCAAUUUUUAUACUUUACAAACAGGUGUUACUACCUUUCUAUAUGUUUUUAUGGAAAGUUUUUAUUUUUUAUUUUGUAAUCAUAUCAUUUACGAGUAUCAAAGACAAACUUUCAUUAAUAAAGCUAGAUAUUUCUUUGAACCGACCACUAAUAUAUGUAUGGCUUAGAUGACAAAAAAAAUGAUUGAAUGAUGGUAUGUAAUACACCUACAAUCAAUAUGAUAAUUGUAUUUAUAUGUGAUAUAUCUAAAGUCAAUAACACGAACUUCAGACGAAUAUAAUAUUCCAUAUUCACUGCUUCUGGGUAAAAUCAUCGACAGAAUGCUUUUAGAAUGAUGUGUUUCAUUGACAUAAACACCAAAUUCAGCUCAAAUGAACAAUAUGCUUCUUUGAUGUUGGUGUCUAUAGAAUAUAUUUCACGAGGAGGUUGAGAAAGAGCAGGUGACCAGGCGAAAAGGGCGUUAAAAGUAUAGCAGUGACCAGAGUGACUUACCGAUAUGUGGGAGUUAAGGGCAGUGAUAAGUUAAUCAGACACUCUGUACAAUUUCAGAGGGGAAGGAGCUAAAAUACUGCAACCCAUUAACGAGUGUAAUGAGUGCAUAUCACAAGUUUUACGCAUAUAUAACCUAUGAACCCGUUAUACGCAAACACAUUAAGUCAAGCAGUAAUGAUUAAUAGGGGAUGAAAACUGGGACUUGUAACUUGUAAUUAUUUAUUCCCAAGUCAGCUCCAAUUGAAAGCACCGAGAUUAAAGGAAUACAAUAAGCGUCACCUAUUUUUAUUGUUUGUAUGCCACAAUAUGGAACAUCUUUCAGUUUUCAGUUCCUAAGAUAGCUUGGUGUUAUUUGAGGCAGGUUUGUCCGCUUUUGGGUUGUCCGAAAUAGUUUUGAAGGAUAGAAAUUAAAUGAAUAUAUUUGCAUUGCAAUACUACAAUACUUUUAUUCAUCAAACAUUCCGUCAAUAACUGUUAUCCAUCGAUGCAGCAUCUUCAAAAUUCCAUCAACGCAGAACUGAGCUGUCUUGGAGAACAUGAAAUUAUCUGGAUGAUUUUUAACUGCAUCUGAAAUCAUUUCAUGAUUUUCUGUUCAAGGAAUUUUGAAGGAAUUUUACAGGAACCUAAACAAUUAAAAAUCAAAUGGCACAAUGUCUGAUGAGUAUGGUGGUUGAAGUAUAAUAUUCCGCCCAAGUUCAAGUAAUUUCAUACGGAUAGCCAGACACACAUGAUGUUUGGUGCUGUCUUUCGGAAACACCACCUCUUCCUAGUUCUUGCAUCAUCUGCCUAAUUUUACUGAUUCAAGCUUUCCAGGUGAUGACAUGACACAGUAUAUUGUGUGGAAGCAGUUGAUAGCAAAUAAUUUCCUUAAAAUUCCAGAGACAGAAAGCACAACUCUUUUUGCAAGAAUAUUUUCCGCUUUGGUGGGUGUUUUGGUGGAUUCUCAUACAAACCACUGGAUCGUUUCCGUUCUCCGGUAUUGUUAUCAAUCCACGUUUCACACACACACACACACACAUACACAUAUACACACACACAUACACAUACACACACACACACACACGCAUAUAUACACACAUAUAUACACACACAUACACACACCACACACACACACACACACACACACACACACACACACACACACACACACACACACACACACACGUAGUAUUUGUCUACCGAAUUCACUCACAAGGCAUUGAAGUUGCAAUAGAAAAUACUUGCCCGAGGUGUCGCACAGUGGGACUGAACCCGAAUUCACGUGGUGCAAAGCGAACUUCUAAUCCACAUAGCUACACAGCUAUGUCAAUGUGCUUCCUCUUUGUUUUCUUCUUCUUACUUUACCAUCUACAUUAUCGUACUCCUGUUUUCUUACCAUAUUUUUUAUUUAUUGUUUAUACUUACACAAAGAAAAAAAAUUUAAGAGCAAUUUAAACAGUGUCCUAACAUAUUUUAAUAUAAUCAAAUAUUCAGUGAAAUAUAAAAUGUCAUUAGUUAAUCACUAAUAUUAUUUUUCUUGGCACGUACAGACGACAAAUUACGGAAGUGAUACGCCUUCUUGGUUUCAACAAGUAACUAAAGAAAUAUGACAAUAUUCUUUGUCAUUCAACUAAUAUCGUUUUUAUGUUAGCAACAUAUCAAAAAGUAUUUUAUAGCUUGGUUUUGUUUGUUUUGCUGCAAAUAAUUGCAUUAAAUUUUUGCACAAAGCCAACAAUUUUGAGGCGACAGGACAGGACGAGUCGUUUACAUCGGCGCAAUACUUGACUGCUACCGAAUUUCAUCGACCCAGAAAAGAUGAACGGAAUUUGAACUCUGAGCGUAAAAGAGGAAAUGCUGAUAAAGAUUUUGUCCAGCACACGAAUUCUUCUUCCAACUCGUUCAGAAGUAUUAAUUUUCUGGUGAAAUUUUUUAUUUUAGUAUUUUUUGAUGCCGACGUUCAUAUCUUAAGCCCAUAUACGUCAGUAAUAUGUAUAUAUAUAUAUAUUGAGAAAAGGGAGGCAGUCAGAAUUUUGGAUAAUCUUUUAUUAGCGAUUUCGUUUGUUUACGAACUCAAGACAAUAUCAAAAUCAAAACUUUGAUUUUGUCUUGACGAGUUCGUAAACAAACGAAACCGCUAAUAAAAGAUUAUCCAAAAUUCUGACUGCCCCUUUUUUUCUCAGUAUACGAUAUUGAGUAUACCACUUCAAACACACACUCUCUCUCUCUCUUUCUUUCUCUCUCUCUCUUUCUUUCUCUCUCUCUCUGUAUACAUAUAUAUAUAUAUAUAUAUAUAUAACUUUUUUUUCAGAAUGAGAUAAAAAGUCCAAGGCUGUGAAGAUUUUAGAACAUUUAUAAAUAGAAGGUUUUACAACUGUUUCCAGGAUAUUUAUUAUAUCCCUUCAUCGGAGACGGUGUGAGAAAAUGGUUAAGGAAUAGUUAGUUAAUUUAGAUAAAACCCUUGAUUCAAUAGUACUAUGUACAAACUUUAUACUUGGAAUGACUAAUUUUAGAUACUAUUCGAUUUUACUCAAAAGGUAUUGGAAUCUUAUAUGUAUACAAUUCUGCCUAAAUAAUGGAUCUACAAUGCAGUAUCCCUACAUAUCUCACAUCUAUUUUCAUUCCUCCACUUCACUCUCUAUUUCGUAUCUUAUCUAAAUUAACUAACUACUGCUUAACCAUUUUCUCACACUGUCUCCGAUGAAGGGAUAUAAUAAAUAUCCUGGAAACAGCUGUAAGACCUUCUAUCUAUGAAUGUUCUAAAAUCUUCACAGCCUUGUUUUUUUUUAUCUCAUUCUGAAAAGAAACGAGUUAUAUAUACGCAUGCUGAUAUAUGACCUACGUUGGACUCAUUAUUCGCAUAAUCACCGAACCUGGAGCUUAGCUAUGGCCUAUCCAUAGCACUUACUCAGCAUUACCUGACACCUUUGGGUCUUACUGACACCAUUACCCCUAUAUAUAUGUGUGUGUGUGUGUGUGUGUGUGUGUGUGUGUGUGUAUGUACACAUAUAUAUGUUUUAUAUAUAUAUAUAUAUAUGUGUGUGUGUGUGUGUUUGCGUAUGUGUGUGUGUUUGCAUACAUAUAUAUGUGUGUGUAUGUGAGGUGGGAGAAUUCACGUUAUUACUUUAAAGCAAGUUUAAGAAUGUAAAAUAGAACAUCUCUUGGUAGGGAAGAAACUCAAUACGAAAGCUAGCAGCACACAUACACACACAUGCACACAUAUACACAAAUAUACACACACACAAAACGCAGAUUCUGUGUAUCAAACUUUACACGCGAGAUAUUCGUCAGCUGAAUUCGUUUUCUCGGUAUUUCUAUUACUCUACGUUGAUAUUAAGUAUGCUGACGCUCGCUUUAAUAUCUCAGUUAUAGCGAUUUACGCAAUAAUACUUAAGCAAGUCACGGAAACCAAAUGGCGGCAUCGUGGAAGAAGGUGAAGCGCGUCUGUAGUUGUUGCCGUUGGAAAUGAUAUUAGUCAUCAACUAAUAUCGUUUUACUUUUAGCACAUAUCUGAAUAUAAUUUAGCUUUGUAUCGUUUUGAUAAUGAAAGGCUUUCCACUGCAUAACUAUCUAUCAUCUACCAUGUGGACGGUGUCCUAUACAUAAUCUAAUGCAUAUAUAUAUAUUGAAAGUCAUCUAAAGGACAAACAAACACACUAGCAGAGUAAAUGAUAACUCUAGUUUAUAGUAUAAACCAUCUUCAGCUACGAGCCAACACACACACACACACACACACACACACACACACACAUAUUCUUUUAUUAUUUUGUUUCAGUCAGUUGACCGUGGUCAUGCUGGAGUGCCGCCUUUAGUCGAACAGGUCGACUCCAGGACUUAUGCUUUGUAAGUCUAGUACUUACUCUGUUGGCCUCUUUUGCAGAACCACUAAGUCAUGGGGACGUACACACAACAUCGAUUGUCAAGCGAUUGUAGGGGGACAAACACAGACACAAAUACAUACAUACAUACAUACAUACAUGGUGGCUGCCCCCUCGUUAUCGAGUAUGACCAUUGCACGAAACUUAAUCAAUGUUGUUAUCGUGCAAUGCCUGUGCAAGAAGAUUUUUUUAAAGUGUGGAAAGGCUGUGCACUGAGUUAAUCCCACUUACUAAGCAACAGCAGCCAUAAUCAGAAAAGAAGAACAAGUCAACAUCAUCGGUAACCACUGAGCCGCAGGUUUUAUGUCGGAGAUAUCCCAGUUACCUGAGUUACCUUCUCCUAGAAGGAUGCCCUGACAAAGGCUAGGAGUCCUUCACUCCCAAUGGUUUAAAAACGCGAUCGGGUAUUCAGUCCGAUUAUUUCUAUGUCCCCGUGCAUGAUACAGCCUUAAGACAUUUAUUGGAUGGCCGUUGACUCUCAAGAGUUCCUCCGCCCUUUGACGGGUUUUGUUUUUCAUCCCGCAGGGUGUCCAAUAAACACUCUCCUCACCAAGCAAGCUUGGUGGGGUUGCCGGUUUAGUUGCCAACGACCCGACCAUGCAACAGGUUGUACUGGGUUACGUGUUACCAGUAGCACUCGAAAGUGACCUGACAUACAUACAUACAUACAUACAUACAUACAUACAUACAUACAUACAUACAUACAUACAUACAUACAUACAUACAUACAUACAUACAUGUGUGCUAGUGGAAAGACACCCACGGGAGGCAGAAUACGUACUCUAUGUUAAUUCUUGUAGCCAGCAUAGAUAAUAUGAACAUUAGUGGGAGGAAGGGAAUGUACACAAUUUCCAUAUUGAUUAACGAUAACUAUCUGCCAACUAAAAGAAUGCCUAGCUGAGAUGGUCGUGUAACUUCCUCUGAAAAGCUUAGAAUUGGUCCUGUUGUUCUUCAGGAAGGACAGUUUGGGGGCUCUAGCAGUAAGACUAAACAUUAGAUUAAAGACUGUAGUGUUGGGAUUUAGAUGAAUCACUCCAUGCAACAUUAUAGACAUGCGAACCAAUAGCUGUACUAAUGUUGAUUAUAAAAGCACAGAGGAAAAGUAGCGCGCAUUAUAGAAGGAUUACAUGGCAUAAUGCUCGAUUUGAAGUUCAUGUAGCCACAAAUAUCCCGGGAAUUUUUUUACAGCCUUGGAUGAAUAUUUUCCUCUUCAAACAGGUAUACUAGAAGGCGGCAAGCUGGCAGAGAAGGCGGCGGGCUGGCAGAAACGUUGGCGCGCCGGGAGAAAUGCUUAGCGGUAUUUCGUCUGCCGUUACGUUCUGAGUUCAAAUAAUCGACUUAAUCCCUUUGUCUGUCCUUGUUUGUCCCCUCUAUGUUUAGCCCCUUGUGGGUAAUAAAGAAAUAGGUAUACUAGGACAUGCAAUGUCCUAGUAUAAUUUGCAUAUUCUACCACAUAAUUUGCAUAAUAUGCAUAAUUUGCAUAUUCUACCACAUCUAACAAGGGAGAUAAUUAUAACAGGUCACGACACGAAAAUAUUGAAAACCUUCGAAGUGAAGAAAACACAAACUAGUCCUUACUCUGAACGUAUAAAACAAUUUGGGCUCACCUUUGAUAAAAGAAAUGCAGCUACCAAGGAAGAAGAGAGUGUUCAUAUCUCAUAUCUCUGCAAAAUAUAGGGAGUUUUAAUUUGAUAAUCUCUCAUGCGGUGAAUAGCGUUAUCAUAAGUACAAUAAAUUCCCGGGAUAAGUGUAGUAAACGUAACAACUGCUCCUGGACUACCAAUAUCUAAGACAAAAUAUAAUCUGUUAAUUUUUCGGUAAUAACACCUAGAAAUGUCCAGUGUUACGUAAGCACUUCUGCUACGAAAUUCAAAUUCAGCUUCAAUAACACACUACAUCCUUUAACUGAACCUCAAGUAGAAUAAAGUUGAAUAUUUUGUCGCCUGGUCUAUCAUAUUUCGAAAUUCACCCCACUUUCUAACCGCCUGUCUAUAAUUUUCACAUCGAACCUAAUGUACUUCGUCCCUUUUUAAUAUAUUUCCUUUAAAGAAAUUCUAUUUAACGACCGUAGUUUAUAUUAUAUUAUUCAAUGGGAUUUUUUAACGGUUGUAAACUUGAAACAUAUCAAAUAAUCUAUAAAGGCAACGAUAUUACAUUCUACUUUCUACUGAAUAUUGGUGUUCACUUUAAUAAUCUCACACUCUUAGAUUAAUUCUCCUCGCCAAUAGACAAAUCACUUAAAGCAUUAAGGAGGCUAUAGUCCUUACAUCUCGCCGAUUUUACUUCAUUGGCGUCUUGUAAUAUUAUUACCAAGUGUGUGAACCCGCGAUAGGGUAUUAAAUAAUGAAAGGCAAUCCAAUAAGACCACUUUCCCCUAUCACAUUCCGCCAAAUCUGAUUCUGUAUAUCUUCCCUAAAUAUCUGACUUUAAAUGUUCCGAGAAGGAUGAAUCCCUAGGUGGCUGUUUCACAAAUUGGUUGAACAAUCGAUCAAUAAUUACUAGAUCGAUUAAUCAUGCAAACUACAAUAUUUCAUGGAUGUAUCUCACUGAGUCGUUUGAAACGUAUGCGAGUGAAUAAAUGAUCGUAUGAAUAUAAUUAUUCAUUCUUUAUUUUAUUACUGAUAUACUGUGAUUAGCAGGGCAAAUUAUUAAUUAGUGAUGGACUUCGGAUUUGGACUGUCGUAUGGUAUUAAUAACCUAAACGGGUUGAUAUAAACUUGAUUAGGCAUCCUAGUAACUGGGUUAAUUAAACAGAGUGUAUUAAUCUGGAUUUAUUAAAUCCCUAUUUUCCUUCGUAGUAUGUAUGUAUGUCAGUUUUAUUUCAAGAUUCCUUGCCAAUAGAGAAAGGGCCGGUUUCUAACCUAGAUCCAAGGGUCCUUCCUUGGAGCUUCAACAUCAGCAACAGAGUAUUUUUGCAUGUAUGUAUAUUUGUAUUUUUUUUUGUUUGUUUUAUGUUUGUCUUCUCAUGCUGCUCAAAGAGCUGCCUUCCAAGUCUUAUGUUGUUAUCAGCCUCAUGUACGCAAACUUGGUCUAGGAAUACACAUCGACACUUGGUAGUUAAAAGAUGUUGCCGAAGGGAUACAAUACGACAUUCAAAGGUAGAUUGGAUCGAUGUUAAGCCUCUGCCGCCUUGUUUCCGUUUUAGGUAGAGGCGGUCUACGUCACUGUUGAUGUGGAAAUUAUGUGUGCUUCUUAGUAUCUUCCGGGUUUUCUCAUCAAUUGUUCAGAUCUCAUCAAGCGUCCACUCAAGCAGCCCAAAAUGUUGGUAUGAGUACUGGCACUGCAAACACAUUGUGGGCCACUGUUUUAUUGAAUGCAGAGAGUUCCGAGGUCCAACUUUUCUUUAUUCGGCUGUAAUAUUCUUUAGUGAAACGUGUUUUGUUACAGAUGCCAUUGUAAGAUAUGUUUUCAUCCACCCCUAGAUACUUAUAACAUUCCUCGUCAGAUCUAGGGGAAACAGUUAAGUCAUUGAUGGAGAUGUUGCUAGUCUGGUUUACUGUUUUCCCUCUUUUCACAACCAUAUAACAACAUUUAUCCUCACUAAACUCCAACACUAUAUCCUUUGUAUGUAUGCGGGUAUAUAUAUAUAAGCAUGGUUAAAUGUGUGUAUGUAUGUAUGUAUGUAUGUAUGUAUGUAUGUAUGUAUGUAUGUAUGUAUAUAUAUAUAUAUAUAUAUAUAUAUAUAUAUAUAUAUAUAUAUAUAUAUAUAUAUAUAUAGGAGGCUUUCCCAUUCACCCUCCUGCAGUCGAUAAAAUAAAGUAGGGGUCAAGUAAUGGAGUCCAUAUAAUCGAGUGUAGCCUUCAUCCGUAUUGUAGAUCUGGUGUUUAUGUUAGUGAACAAUACUGACAACCAGAUUACGUUUUGAUAACCAGAUCUCUAAUUGAUAUUAGAUAUCUUAGUCUCGUGGAUAUAUUCUUUUGUAUGCUUACCUAAUUGCGACCAUACUGGGGCACUGCCUUAAGGAACUGAGAUGAAUAUACUGACUCUAGUAGUUACAUCUUUUUAUCUUGUACUAAUUCUAUCGGUCUCUUUCGCAGUACCACUAAGUUACUAUGGCAUAAACAAACCAGCACCGGUUGUCAAGCGGUCAGAGGAAUAAAAAUAUACAAACACACAAAAAUGUACUUUUAUGUGUGUUUGUAUAUAUGUGUAUGUAUAUGUGUGUGAGUGUGUACGCACUUAAAUCAGCAUUAGAUUAUAAUAAUAAAGUGUGUGUAUAUUCAUAAUGUAUACGCAAACGUAGAAUGGACUUAACUUCAACAUUUUGUCUUAGAAACUUCUCAAAGAGACUUCUGUGGACAUAAAAUUGCGAAGUUUCUCUGAGAAAAACUUAUUACAGCUAGUAUCGUUUUACGUUUAAUUAUAUAUUAUAUAAAUAAUCAAUUAUAUAAAAUAACGAUAUAUAUACAUUAUGUUAUAGACAUCGUUAUUUGAAGCUAAUGUUUCAAGUGGGUAUAUUGAUUUAAAUAGUGUACGUUGUGAGAUGAGAUAUUAAUCGAAAUAAUUAAUUAUUUUAAGCGCAAUUAGUCAAGAAAUUUCUGAAGAAUACUAAUUAAAAAAAAUUUGGACGGGUGUAAUAGUUCAUUGUAUUGGAUGGAAAAGCAUUUUAUUCGCAGCACUUCGUUAGGAUAACUUCGCCCAGCAGCGCUGUAUUAUCUUACACUUAUUAAAAUUAUAAUAUGAAGUCAAUGCGUACUGUAAUUAAUGAAGAGAUUACACUUGUAACUUAUCGUUUAAUAAGAAAAGUGCCAAACAUUAGGACGAUAGUAUUAGAUUCAUUAGUAAUGGAUGGCUUUGGCUAAGAACUCACAAUAGCGUCAAAACACCGGGUGUCUCCUAAAAUCGCCUUUCCAUAAUUAAUCGAGCGUGUUAUGAACACACAUUUGCUUGAAAGAAGUUCACCUCGAAUGGCAGAAAACAAAAGUAAUUGACCAAUUCGAAUUCGAAUUUGUGGGAACGUAUUGCAAAUGGAUAUGUAUAUCCUCGAGCAAAUUAUGUUUUAUACAUAAAGGAUGGCGAAAGGAAGCGUCGGAUAAAAUACUUUGCAGUAUUUCCCUGUGUUCUCAGUUCACAUCCCGCCCAGGUUAAGUUUGCCUUUCAUUUUUACGGAGCACUUUUAAUAAACGAAUUAGUCCAGUUUUGUAAUAGAUUUCUUUAUCUCGGUUUCUCUCUCUCUCUCUCUCUCUCUCUCUCUCUCCUUCUCUCUCUCUCUCUCUCAGACACAUACACAGAGAUACAGACAGAUACAUCACAACUAAGAAUACACACUACAGCAAGGCAGAGUGGUCUAAACAAAACAAGAAGAGACAUAAGAUGGAGAGUGGUUGAAGAGGUCACAGGAUGUGUGAGGAAAGGUUUCAGGCAAAGAACACAAUAAAAACAACAACAACAAUAAUAAUAAUAAUAAUAAUAAUAAUAAUAAUAAUAAAGCUGAAGUGAAGACCAAGUAUAUAAUGCAUGUGGUUAAUUGGCAAAAAUGACCAUCCCCAAAUACAACAAUGAGGCAGAAUGAGAACCAAAUCAAUGAAUAUGUAUAUAUAUAUAUAUAUAUAUAUAUAUAUAUAUAUAUAUAUAAAUUAAACAUUAUAUCAUGAAUAGCGAGAGCGAAACCCGGUCGAUAUAUUAAAAAUUAUAUUAAAACCAUGUAAGUGUGCGUAUUUUCCUUUUUUAAUUUCUUAUAUAUAUAUAUAUAUAUAUAUAUAUAUAUAUAUAUAUAUAUAUAUAUAUGUGUGUGUGUGUGUAUGCAUAUAUAUAUUGUACCAUAGUUUCGGAUACAUAUACUCGUGAACAAAGACUCCUUGAACUUAGAUCAACACUAACUAAAAGACAUUACACAAGCUCAUUAAUAAAUGAUGGCAUUAAAAGAGCUAAGGAAAUAGAUAUACAAAUAUUAAGGCAAGCCAGCCGAAAUACCAAACCAGACUUAAAAAUACUCCCGUACGUUUCCACACAUAACCCUAGAAACAACGAAGCCUUCAACAUUAUCGCCCAAAAUCUUCCCAUCCUCACAGUAGACAAAACAAUGAACGAAAUUUUAAGCUCAUAGAAAAUUAUAAAAAUCAAAAAGCAACCGAAGUCACUGAAAAAAAUAUUUACCAGCGUAAGACUAUAUCCACUAACAACAGAGCCAAAAGUGAAAAAAUGUGGUCGUCCUAACUGUGUAACAUGCCCCCACCUUUUGGAGGGUUCAGAAUUUCACUUCUAACAAGGAGAAAUAUUUAAGAUCAAAUCAAAUUUCACCUGCGCCUCGGAAAAUCUGCUCUAUGCCAUGACAUGCUUAGGAUGUGGUAACCACUAUAUUGGACAAACAGGAAUAUCACUCCAUCGAAGAACCACCAUCCAUAAAGAACAAAUUUGCCACCCACAAUACAGACAGUUACAGGUUAGUGAACACAUAGAGAGGUGUGUCAGGAAUCUUAAUCCUUAUUUCCAAAUCUUCCCCUUCUAUCAAUGUUCACAGAACACCUCAAUGCAACAAAGGUUAAAUAAAGAGGCAAUUUUCAUCAAUAAAUAUCUUCCCCAACUAAAUAUGAACACACAACUUAAUACAGAACACCACUAACCCUUCAAUUAACACUACUAACCCCUGUACACUCCCUACACCAUUCACAUUACAAUUCUAUAUCUAACCCAACUGCACUAAAUCCAGAACUACUUACCUCCCUUACAAAUAUUCUUUUUACUCAGGAACUAUUAGACCUGACACCGUUCAUUAGCCGGUGUUUAUUCAAAACAAUGAAUAGCUUAUGACGAAACCAUGGUAUGCUUUUCUUUCUGACUUUUUAAUCAUCUCAUAAUAAUGAUUUUUAUGAUUACUUCAGUCCAUCUAAAUGUAUAUAUCUGUCGUUACCUUUCAUAAGAAGCCUUUUCUUUUUUUAUUUACAAUAUGCAUUUUCGUUGAUUUUUCAUAUUUUCCCCUUACAUUUCCACGUGUAUUUUAUAUUUUCUUUUUGUAACAUAUUUCUACUAUAUAUAUAUAUAUAUAUAUAUAUAUAUAUAUAUAUAUAUAUAUAUAUAUAUAUAUAUAUGUAUAUCAUAGGGCCUUCUCGAGCCAUGCCAGACUCAUAAGGACGGGUUUCCCGGUUUCAGUGGCGUAUAUAUUUCCGACCAGGACGAGACGCUGAUCCGUUGCGGGUUACUCAUUUUUGCCAGUUGAGUGGGAUGAGCAACGUGAAAGAACACGCCGCAUCGCCUGGUCCAGGAAUCGAAGCCACAAUCGUACGAUCAUGAAUCUUUACUACUAAACCACGCGCCUCCACACACGCACACAUAUUAUAUAUAUAUAUAUAUAUAUAUAUAUAUAUAUAUAUAUAUAUAGAGAGAGAGAGAGAGAGAGAGAGAUACUUACAUAUAUAUGUUACUGCAUACAUACUUAUCUAUAUCUGUUACACACAGAUAUAUAUAUGCGUGUGUGCGCGCCUUUCAUUCUUUCAUUCUCUCUUAUACUCUCUCUUUUUCUCUCACUUUCUCUUUCUCCCCUCUUUCUCUUCAUCUGACUACUUCAUAACUUACUAGAGUCCAGUGAUGCAUGAAAGACUAACUCUUAGUUACUCUCCCCCUCCAGCUUCUCUUUCUCUCUCUCUUUAUCUAUCUAUCUAUCUAUCUAUCUAUCUAUCUAUCUAUCUAUCUAUCUAUCUAUAUAAUCCCGAACUGUUACUACGUUUCACCUCAUCAGUUACAACAGGCACGAGGGAAUAUUCACAAUGGUGGCAUUUCCGCCUCGUGUGUAGAUACGACUGAACACUAAUGCAAGUUUUGCAGAUCAACAUAAUUUCAUCGUGUUUAGAGAUAACUGGUUUGAUGGCAGAAUUAAACCAUUAAAUAAAAAAAACAUGUUUUCUAAAAGAAAAACCCGUUCCCUUUCCCCACAAAUAUUUCAAUUGAGAAUAAAACCAAUAUUUAAUCUUUAUUUUUUAUUUGUAGUCCAUUUUUAUCGACGAUGUCACGUGAAUUAAAAAUCGUGCAAUUCUAUGUUGUCAUUAUAUUCCUUUACUCGUUGACUUGUUUCACUUAUACGACUGCAGCCAUGCGGGGGCUCCAUCUUGCAUUGUUUAGUUGAUCGAAUCGACCCCAGUACAUAUUUGGUACUUAUUCUAUCCUUUAGUCUUUUUUCGAACAACUCAAGUUAGAGGGACGUAAAUAAACCAGCACUGGCAGUCAAGUGGGGUGGGGUGGUACACACACGCACGCACACAAGCAUGCACGCACGCACAUAAAUAUAUACGCACGCACACACACACACACACACACACACAUUUCUUGGUUCCAUAGUUUUUAGGAAACAAUGUCCUUUCUGAAGAUAUUUAUUUGUUUUGUGGGCACUAUUUUUUUUUAUUUAUGUUUGUGGCUGUAGAUUUGACACAGGUAGCAGUUGUUUUUAACGCCACUGACACUGCUGAGUUGAACGGGACUUCGCAGGUGUAGAAAUCACAAUGAUAUUCGUUGGGCAACUAAUGAUGGAAAUAUAUGUUUGAAUGUUUGUUGUAUGUGAAUCUUCUGGUUUCUUUGUUUUGAAUUGUCCUUCACUCUCGUAAGGAUGAACUUGUUAAAGGGAUAUUGAUCUGUGGUGUUUAGUUGUUUGCAGUGUAACCAAUAUUGAUGUUGUAUGAUUGUUUCCACUGGUUGUCAGACGAUGGCUAAGACAAUAUUUGAUUAAGGAUUUCUAGUUUUGGAAGAUUGUAUGGUGUAUAUAUAAUAUUGUGUGUGUGUGUGUGUAUAUGUGUGUGUGUGUGUGUGUGUGUGUGUGUGUGUGUGUGUGUGUAUAGUGUCACAUCAUAAAUAAUGCAGUUUUUUCAGUUGCAUGAACGGGAAGUAAUUUUGCUUUGGCCUGAUUCUUAGUACAAAUUUUGAAGACCGCGGUUCGAUUUUAACACUUAUUUUUCAAAGCUAUAAUGGAUGUCACAUAGGAGUAUAUUGGGCUUAUUUUCCUUUAUGAGUUCAAUAAAGGCAACAAUGCAGCGGAAAGUGCAAGGAAUAUUAAUCUAAUAUAUGGGGAUCGGACAAUAAGCGUCAGCCAAUAUCAACGGUGGUGCCAGAAAUUCCGAGCCUGAAACUACAGCCUAGAAGACUUGUUUCGUCCCGGAAGAUCUGUAGAACGCUGGUGGAGAAAAAUCUCAUCGUAACUUUUGAGGAACUAGCUUGGAUUUGGUCAUCCAACUAUUCCUCGACAACUGCGUGUCAUCGGAAAAGUCAGCAAAUUGGAUCAAUGGAUUCCUCACAAACUUUCCGAGUUUAAUCGCGCGCAGAAAGUGAAUGUGUGCUCUUCUUUGCUGUCACAUCUCACGAAUAGUAGUGACAGGUGACGAGAAAUGGGUUCUCAAAAUGUCAAAGCGCCGAAGACAGCGAAAGAGAUACUAAAGAUAUAUAUCGACCUAAUCAAUUGCUUUACUCCCAUCUAAAUUCAGGCCUUGAGCCUAUAGUAGAAAGGGUUAUAUUAUAAUUUAUUGUUUAUUUCCAUUUCUAUGUGCUUGUAGUUUGAAACCGUACGGCUAACUUUCUGUGGAGGUGAGGCAAGUGUCUUAUUAGGUACUGUGACCGGUUGACGAUCAUAAGUUCGUGGGUUCAUUUCUUAGACAGGCUGUCGCGUUUUAUUCUUGGACAAGGCAACUUAUUUCGCGUUGUUCCAGUCUACUGAGUUGUAAAUGAGUAUCCGCUACGGGGUUGGCGCAGGCUUCUCUCCUCCAACAGGCAUAUCCUGAAUGUUCCACUUGAUCAAGGGUGACGGGGUCGCAAAGGUGCCUGGGUCUGCUUGCAACUAUAUUGACCUCUAAAACAAUUACAGUAAGUGUGAUACAUCUUACUAUCCUAUACACGGUUGCCAGUGACGACUGACUGGGAUUUUCCCCCUUCCAUGUGAUACUUCAGCCAUCGCAAUUCAUCGAUAGAUCGAUCAGAAAUCUUAGAAUUAUAGAUAUUUAGUUUCAUGGUGGGGAUGACGGUUGUGGGUGAUUUGUAAGAUCGUCUCCAUCUCGGAAUACCGACAUUGGCAUACUUAUGUAUACCAAAGUAUAACACUAAAGAUCUCAAAGAAUUUGUGUGGCAAAUAUUUCUAACAACUAUCCAUCUCAUUGACUUAUAUUCAACCUGUAUAACAAGGAAAUGAUAGGUAAUAAUAAUAAUAAUAAUAAUAAUAAUAAUAAUAAUAAUAAUAAUAAUAAUAAUAAUAAUAAUAAUAAUAAUAAUAAUAAUAAUAAUAAUAAUAAUAAUAAUAAUAAUAAUAAUAAUAAUAAUAAUAAUAAUAAUAAUAAAACACAUAUAACAUACAGAAAAUUGCACUACUAGGCACUGCACACAUCCUACGCAGAACACUUUCCAUACAAUAACCAUCAGAGCAUCACAACAAAUCACAACACAUACCCAAGGCACACAGAGCUGCGCUCGGUAGUGAAGUGAAAGCACGCUAUAAAAAUAAAACUACUGAAUGAUAAUAAUAAUAAUAAUAAUAAUAAUAAUAAUAAUAAUAAUAAUAAUAAUAAUAAUAAUAAUAAUAAUAAAGAAAAGCUAAAGCAAGAUAUCUUUGCCAAAGCACAAAGGAUUCGCCGGUACGAGAAACGCCACCGUUUCUUUGAACAAAACAAAAAGUUCAACUCCAACCCCAAAAACUUCUACCAAGAACUUGGCAAAAAUAAAAUAGAAAUCACUGCAGCACCAACGGCAGAAGAAGUGGAAGAAUUCUGGAGAGAAAUAUGGUCGGCGAACGAACAACCAAAAAAAAGGAGUAUUAAAACAACAAACUCAGCAUCUGAGCAACUUUGGACCCCCAUAACAACUGAAGAAGUCACCCGGGCACUGCAAAGACUAAGCAACAGGAAUAUCUAACAGGAAUGCACAAAAAGCUGGCUGAAAACUUUAACAACAUACUAGCAGAGCCAGAGACAAUGCCUGAAUGGCUCACGAAGGGGAAAACCAUCUUAAUUCCCAAAUCAAAUGAGACAGCAAAACCAGAAAACUACAGACCUAUAACCUGUCUCCCUACAAUAUACAAAGCAUUUACUGCAGUAAUAUCGCAAAGAUUGAACACGCUUCUGGACGAAAACAACCUGUUUCCAGAAGAGCAGAAAAGAUGCCGCAAAGGCUCAUAUGGCUGUAAAGAUCAACUAAUGAUCAAUACAGCCAUAACUGAAGACAGCCACAGAAAGAAGAAAGGCCUCAGUAUGGCCAGGAUCGACUACAAAAAGGCGUUUGAUAGCAUCCCCCACACAUGGAUCCUCGAAACACAAGCCAUUAACAAAGUAGCACCAACAAUUAUAAAAUUCAUAGGACACUCUAUGAAUAAAUGGCAAACAGUGCUACAGCUCCAAACAAAACAGGGACUCAUGAAAACCAAAGCCAUCCCCAUUAGAAGAGGAAUAUUCCAGGGAGAUACGCUCCACUCCUUUUCUGCUUGGCACUGUCACCUCUAUCUAUGCUAAAUAGAACCGGAUGCGGAUAUAAAUGUUACGGCAAAACGAUCAGCCACCUUUUAUAUAUGGAUGACCUAAAACUAUACGCUGCAAAUGACAAACAGCUGGAAACACUAUUAAAGACUGUUUCUUUGGUAAAUCAUGGGUUUACCAAAGAAAUAGAUAUGAAAUUUAGAUUAGAAAAUGCGCCAAAGUAACCCUGAAAAGAGGAAAACUAGUUAAGAGUAGCAACAUCACACUAGAUAAAACCAAUGAAAUAAAAGAAUUAGACCAAAGCCAAACUUACAAAUACUUAGGAAUCCAUGAACUAGAUAAGACACAACACACACAAAUGAAAGAGAAAAUAAAAAAAGAAUAUUAUAGACGAGUUAGAUCAAUACUAAAAACAGAGCUCAAUGCUAUAAACAAGAUAAUAGGUAUUAACACUUUAGCUGUCCCAGUUAUAAGUUACAGCUACAAUAUCCUUAACUGGACACUAAAUGAACUGACCAAAAUAGAUAGGAAAACAAAAAAAAUAAUGACAGGAUCUAGGAGGCAUCACCCAAAAUCUGACAUAGAAAGACUAUAUAUACAACGUAUAGAAGGUGGUAGAGGCCUUAUACAGCUGGAAAACUACUAUAAAAUAACCACCAUAGGACUGCAAAAAUAUCUACUUCAGAAGGAAGGAAAACUGAUCCAGAUAGCGGCAAAACACGAGCAAAACAAAAAACUGUUCUCGGUAUUUAAGGAAGCUGACAAAUACAAACAAGAAAUCAUACCACCUAACAAAUAUGAAGAAGAAGAAGAAGAAGAAGAAGAAGAAGAAGAAGAAGAAGAAGAAGAAGAAGAAGAAGAAGAAGAAGAAGAAGAAGAAGAAGAAGAAGAAGAAACAACAAAAGCUUUAAAACAAAUGAAAUCCAAACUAGAACUAGAACAGCAAAGAACCAUGAUAAAACGAUGGCAAGAAAAGCCCUUUCAUGGUAAAUACUAGACUAAACUAAAUGCAAAAGAAAUAGACAAAGAAAAAUCUGAGCAAUGCUUGAGAAGCUCAGGACUCAAAGCAGAGACAGAAGGAUUUUUAAUUGCAGCACAAGACCAAAGCCUCCCCACCAGAAAUUACCAAAAACAUGUAAUGAAAAGAAAUAUAACAAGUAACUGCAGAAUAUGUGGAGAUGGACAAGAAACAAUAAAUCAUAUUAUCUCUGGCUGCCCAGUCCUGGCUAAGAAAGAAUAUAUUCACAGACAUGACAGAGUUGGGACCUACAUACACUGGAAACUAUGCCAACAUUAUGGAAUAACAACAGAAAAAAAGAUGGUAUAGGCACACACCAGAAAAGGUCACAGAAAACGAGAAAGCAACCAUACUCUGGGAUAUGCCGAUUCACACAGAUAGAGAAAUUAAGGCCAACAGACCAGAUAUAGUUGUCAGAGAUCAUGAAGAAAAAAACAUGCUUUCUAAUUGAUGUAUCAAUACCAGCAGAUGACAACCUGUCUCUAAAAGAAAUGGAGAAACUUUCAAAAUACAAAGACCUGGAAAUAGAGGUAACCAGAAUGUGGAAUCUAAAAACAGAAACAACUCCUAUCAUAGGCAUGAUAAAAACACCAGGACUUACAAACACAUAUAACAUACAGAAAAUUGCACUACUAGGCACUGCACACAUCCUACGCAGAACACUUUCCAUACAAUAACCAUCAGAGCAUCACAACAAAUCACAGCACAUACCCAAGGCACACAGAGCUGUGCUCGGUAGUGAAGUGAAAGCACGAUAUAAAAAUAAAACUACGGAAUAAUAAUAAUAAUAAUAAUAAUAAUAAUAAUAAUAAUAAUAAUAAUAAUAAUAAUAAUAAUAAACUACUGAAUAAUUAUAAUAAUAAUAAUAAUAACAAUAAUAAUAAUAAUAAUAAUAAUAAUAAUAAUAAUAAUAAUAAUAAUAAUAAUAAUAAUAAUAAUAAUAAUAAUAAUAAUAAUAAUAAUAAUAAUAAUAAUGACGAUGAUGAUGAUAUGAUCUAUUCUUUAAGAUGAUUUUUAUAGGCUGAAGUCUGUGUAGUGUCAUUAACCUCUUGUUACUCCAUUAAGUAGUAAAUGUUUGGACCAGGCAUUGAUCUUGUGUUUAGGCAUUCAUCUGUUUAUUCUCGAGCUUUUUAACCAUUGUUCCAUUGCAUAUUAGUCCACUUUCUCCCUGAAUACACUGACUCUGGCGGAGGAAGGGGUUUUGUUCUUUCUCUUGAUUUUUUUUCUUUUGCUUUUCAACUAUGAUUUUUAUCCUUUUCCCCUUUGUUUUGCUUUUACAUUUUUCUUUGCUUUGUUUCCUUAUCUAAAACCACAUUCUUUUGUAUAAACCAGCUUCCUAGUUUGCUUAUAUAUUGUUCCCUUAUACAACGAGAGAAAAUAUAUUUUGGCUUUAGCUUUUCCUGAUGCAUUGUUGCAUCAAUCAGUCUGCAUGUGUUUGCUUUUAAAUAGUUUUUCAAGACACAGCGUGUUUACUACAUACUUAAUAUCUCUACGCAGACGGCUUUUUCCUUCAAGUGCAUGUGAGAUAUAUCAUAUUCCGAUCGGUUUAAACGGUGAUGUGUUUGAAUUGAAAUAGCUGUUCUAUAUAAUUAUUUCAGUUCCCCUCACCAUACCAUGUACUCUCAUAUUUCGUGGAGCUUUCCUCGUUCCAUUACUCAUCUACCUCUCCAUAAUCAUCAUCAAUAAUAUUGUUCUUUAACUCAGGUUUCGUUGGAACUCUUGGAGUCUUGUAUAGGUAGCGGGCUUGCUACCUGCAUCCUACGGUACCAUGGUAUCUGUUCUUUUCAACCAGUUUUCUGGCCGUGCCAAGGAGGCAAAGCUUCCGUAACAACACUAUUGGGUACUUUAUUCCAAUUUCCUUUCUAUUCCGCUUGAUGCCUUCUGAUACUAACCCCGAGGACCCAAAAAUAAUUGGCACUAUCUUUACCUUCUUUAUUUUCUAUAGUCGGGCUAUCUCGUAUUUAAGAGGAUUGUAUGUCGUUUUUUUUUUUCGCGUUUCUCCUUGACUGUUCAUGGGUCAAAGGAGCACGCAGCGUCAAUGAUAGAGCGCAGGACGCUCACUUUGUCCAUCAUCAUUAAGUUCGGCUUGUGCUUAAGCACUUGGUUGAAAUCCCACCAUCUUUUGAAGGUCUCUGACUCCGCCACUCUCUGCGGUUUGUGCUCCUACCAUGUCUUGCCUCUCUCUCUCUAAACCCCACUUUUCAUAGUUUCCAAUGUAGCACUUUCGCUACCUCAUAGCGCCGCCACAACUUAUAAUAAUUCUGGGCAAGUCUAAGAGCAUUCCUUUACGAUAUGGACAAUGCUUUCGUCAUCUCUAUUACAUAUUCAGCACAGUGGAAACACUUGUUCAUUUCUAAUCUGACCCUUCAAUUUGUGGCCAAAGCUUGGUCUUACCUGCCAGAAUGGUGUCUAUUUUUGGGGUGUUCCUUUCUUCACCCAGUCUCUACCAUGUUCUCCAGCAACUUCAGUUGUAGCUAUAUGGAAUUGAUUAUUAAGUCCCUUGUUGCGUAGUUCUUCACAUUCUUCUUGUAUUUCUUGUUUUAUUCUUUUUUUUUCAAUCUACCCGCAUCUCUAUCUGCCCCUAGCAAGGUUUUCUCUCUUUGGGAUAGGUAUUCCAGCAAGUUCCCAAGUUCAAUAUGCCCGCAGUUUUCCACACUUAUCACUCUCCUGCCUCUAUUUGCUCUCUUAAUGUAUGGGCGAUCAGAGCCUGCAUGAGAAUAAUAAGCUCUAUCCAUUGUUAGGGACGUUUUUGUCUUCCUGUCCAACUGCCUCGGCUCAUCCUCAUCUCUCCGCCUAACAAUUCCUACCUCAAACCGAAGCAAAGCGGCAGCGCGCGAGUUUAUUGCCAAAACUACGUUUCUAGCAUUCAACUUUGACUUCAGAAUUCUUCUCAGAUCUUUCUUUUUCUUUUCUUUUGUUUUGUAUUUCACAAUAUAAUGCUUAAUUCUACCUGCUCAAAAAGUAUUACAAGGUAUCUACAUCCAGAUUCAGGCUCAAUUGCCUUCAUCAUUUCACCAGUUGACAUAUAUGUACGCCUUCUGUUCUGACAAACUUACCUCGUCACAUCACUAUCAACGCACAUUUUAAAAGGUCAAACUUCUUCUUCUUCUUCUUCUUCUUCUUCUUCUUCUUCUUCUUCUUCUUCUUCUUCUUCUUCUUCUUCUUCUUCUUCUUCUUCUUCUUCUUCUUUACUUUUGAUCUGAAUAUUUAUUACAAUCACUCGCCGAGGCACAACCAGCGUCCUAAGGCGAGUGAAGGAUAAAAGAUAUUACAGCAUGACAGAAAGCUUGGGGAAAGCAAGUGACGGGCAGUAGCGAAAUAUCUUCAUGUAAUACAACACUCAUCUAAAUUGAUAGGGGACUUUUAAGGAUGUGGGCAGUACUUGUCAGCACAAUCUUUUGGAUUUCUCUGAGAAAUGGUUCUCCUGGGAUAUUAUCUAUAUCCUUAUCAUACCUAAGGCACCUACAAUAAUAGGAACAGUUCUCGCUUUAAAAUGACACAUCUUUUGUAUUUCAAUUUCCAGAUCUUAAUAUUUACCUAAUUUGUCAAAUUCCUUUACAGAUAUAGUUUUAUCAGUGGGAACACUCACAUAUAUUAGUCCACAAGUAUUGUUUUCUCUGUCUUUAAUGACUAUGUCUGGUCGAUUAACCUGGAUCGUUCUGUCAGUGGUAACUGGAAAAUCCCUGAAGGAUAGUGACAUUUUUACCUUCAGCGACUGGCUCAGGAUGAUGUUCAUACCAGUAAGCAGGAGUACUGAUUUUGUAGUGUUUACAUAUUUUCCAAUGUAAAUAUUUCCUACCCUAUCGUGGCGAUUUUUAUAUUAGUUUGGUGUCAUCUCAGGACAUUCCGAGACGAGAUGGUAUAUUGUUUCGUCAAAUUUAUCGAAGAAUCUGCAUUUAGGGUAAUUUUGAAGAACGUUAGCCUGGUAGUUUUUUGUAAGCAAGCGUUGAUCUUGUGUCGCUAAUAUAAAACCUUCAGUCUCUGCUUUCAGUCCUGAGCUUCUCAGCCACCGAUGGGUUGUUGCUUGGUCCACAUCAGUAUUUCGACUUCGAAGUAUACACUGUCCAUGCAGAGGUUUCCGGCUAUUUUUGGAGUUGAGUUCAGUUUCUAGUAUGAGUCUUAUUCUCCUAUAAUACUCGUUUCUUAUUUUACCUUCAUGGUAGCAUGUUGUAUACCAUCUCCUUCGUUUAUCCCCAGGUAUUUACAGCUUCCUUGUGGGUCAAGCUCCUUGAUGAUAGUGACAGUACCUAAUUUAAUGGAAGCUGUUUGCUUCAGCUUUCCUCUUAAAACAGUUAUUUUAGCACACUUAUCAAGCCCAAACUCCAUCCCGAUGUCAUUGCUGAACUCUUUAACAGUUGUUAACAGCCCCACAAGCUCUUGGUCACUUCUAGCAAACAGCUUCAGAUCGUCCAUAUAAAACAGGUGAUUUACUAUAUUAUACACUUUAAAUCCAUACUCGGUUCGUUUGAGAGUGGGAUCAGUGCCAUGCAAAAGAGUAAUGUGGAGAGAGAUUCCCCUUGAAAGAUGCCUCGUUUGAUGUCGAUGUUGUUAGAUAGGCUCAUCCUAUUACUUUGGUUCAGAAGGAGACGUGCAUUCCACUUGGCCAUGCUAUCUUGUCAGAAUCUGUAGACGACAGGACAGAUCUUGUAUAUCUCAAGGACCUUGAGUAGCCAAUUAUGUGGGACACUAUCAAAUGCUUUCCUGUAGUCUUUCUAUGCUGUACUGAGGUUGUUCUUGUUGCUCCGGCAGUUCUCUUCAAUCUUUAUUUAUGCGUAAUUGAUCUUUGCAUCCAUAAGAAUCCCUUUUACAACCUUUUUGAGCUUGUGGAAGGAUAGAGAGAGUUCUGUUCCAGGAUGGUGUACAUUAUUUCAGUUAGCAUGGAUGUGAGGAUCUCUAGGUGGUGCUGAGACAUAUUAUUGGUCGAUAGCUCUUCGGAUUUUUCGUACUUUCAGUUUUUGGUAGAUGGUAUGUUAUUUCUUCGGUUAGCCAGGCAGGUAUUUGCUCUGGGUUCUGGAUUAUUAUUACUAUAAUAAUAAUAAUAAUAAUAAUAAUAAUAAUAAUAAUAAUUAUUAUUAUUAUUAUUAUUAUUAUUAUUAUUAUUAUUAUUAUUAUUAUUGUCGGAAAAAAUUAGCUGAUACGUUCAUACAGUUUUUACAGCUUCUUAGGUUCUCGGUCGAAAUUCAACCGAAGCCAACUUUGCCUUUCACUUUUUCGGGAUCAAUAAAAUAAAGUACCAGUUACACACUGGGCUCUAUGUAAUCGACUAACUCUUCUCCACAAAAAUUCCAGACGUUAUACCUAUAUUAGAAAAGACCACCAUAGCAUUUAAUUUUCUGUUUGAACUUACUAUAACUGAUGAAUGCGCAUGUUUUAAUCUUAUAUUUUUCUUUGGAAAAGAUAAAUGGAUGAAGUUACCUUGGAUUUUUGGUGUGGUGUGUAUGUAAUUGCAAUUUAGGUUUCAACAGAUACCCGUUUAUUUAUUCAAUGUCGCCAUGCUGUCAACACAAUAGCUUCAUAGAAAACUCCAUGUUUUAGUGACAGUAAUGUGUGCUAAUUUGCAUAUUAUAAUUGUUCGGUUGACAACUGUUUAGAAAUUAUUAAAACAUCAUCGCAGCACGACAGUAAUUUUAAUAUUUUCUAUCGUUAAAGUACAUUUAUAUGUGCUUAAGAUAUGUAGAGACUUGCUAUGAAAAUAAAACAAAAAAAAAAAAAGAAAAAGAAAAAGAUAAGAAAACCACAAAGAAAGAUGUCAAGCAUGGGAGUAAUAAGAUUUUCCUGUGAAGUUAUAACUGUUUUCUUGGCAUUUGUUUACUGAAAUUAACUCUGUCGUAGAAAACGUUGUCUGAAGGAUAAUAAAUUAAAACUGACAUUAAGACUACAUACAUACAUACAUACAUACAUACAUACAUACAUACAUACAUACAUACAUACAUACAUACAUACAUACAUACAUACAUACAUACAUACAUACAUACAUACAUAAAUACAUACAUACAUACAUAUAUACAUAAAUACAUUCAUACAUACAUACAUACCUACCUACCUACUACAUACAUACAUACAUACAUACAUACAUAAAUACAUACAUACAUACAUACAUACCUACAUACAUACAUACAUACAUACAUACAUACAUACAUACAUACAUAAAUACAUACAUACCUACAUACAUACCUACAUACAUACAUACAUACAUACAUACAUACAUACAUACAUACAUACAUACAUACAUACAUACAUACAUAAAUACAUACAUACAUACAUACAUACAUACAUACAUACAUACAUACAUACAUACAUACAUACAUGUGUAUUAAGUAUGUGUGUAUGUAUUUAGUCUUUUGUUUCUGUCGCUGGACUGCGACCAUGCUGGAGUUCUGUCCAUGAAACUCUUUAGUCGGACAAAUCGCUUUUAUAACACAUUUUAAAAAGUUUUGUGCUUACUCUAUCGGUGUCUUUUGCCGAACCGCUUCGUUGCGGGAAAGUAAACAAAUCAACACUUGUUGUCAAACAGUGGGCUACAAACACAGAUACAAACACAGACACACAUACAUACACACACACACACACACACAAACACACACACACACACAUACACACACACGCACACACACAUACACACACAUACAAGCAUAUAUAUAUAUAUAUAUAUAUAUAUAUAUAUAUAUAUUCGGCAGAAAAAUAUAGUUUUCUACCAACUAAAAUAUUUACUGCAAAUAUGUGUGUCUAGAAGUGUCAGACGAGCAGCUCGGGUCAUUUACCAUAUUUAAUUAGAAUCUCCUUUUUUGAUGCACCUUUAUUUCAAUUAAAUAUUCUAAAUAACCUGAGAUGCUCGUCCUGCCUUUUGUUUUCCUUUUCCUUUGAUAUAUACCCGCUGACUUGGAAGCCUAUUACAUUUCCUUAGCUCCAGCAUCAGCUAUGAAUUUGGAAUGUAAUGGAUGACCAAUUAUAGCACUUACGCCGCAGCGUACCUAUAGCUUUAGAUUAUCAGUGAACUAAACCCCUCAUAUUCUUUAUAUAUUUAUGUAUAUACAUAUGCAGAUAUACGUAUAUUUAUAUAUACAUAUAUAUUAUCAUUGCUUCAUCCAGCACAAUCACUCCAUUGAUGAGCCCUCAGAUAACAUUUAAGACCAGCUGCUGACUAACAGGUUUUAAAACACAAAUAACAGUUUCUUCCAUAUUUUUGACCUUUUUAAUCUGAUUCUGAACGAAUGUUUUUGUAAACUUGCAUAUUGUCCUCUAAGUCCAGAUAUUGUCUUACAAGUUUUGUGACACAGGUUGUAAGAGGCGGUUGUGAGGUUCAUGAUUAUUACCUACCUGGGUAUUUCGAUUUUCAUGUGACUUCAUAUGAUUCACGUAUCCUGCUUUUGACACACAGAAUAUUAUCACGUAUAAAACAUAUCCAAUGUUCACUGUUGAUCACAGUUCCAGAUUGUUCCUUUGUGACAGACCCUUUUAAACUCAGAGUGCUGAAUCACCUUUUCCUCCCAGGCAUGGAAACCAGGCCCAACAGCACCUCUCUACUUAUUCCCAUUUAGAACAUCAAUUUCCAAAUCACUUUUGUCCAAGUAUAGUUUCUUCGGGUUUUUCAUUACAGAAUCUUUAUACCCUUUCCUCGGAUUAGGUUGUGGUUGCUUACCAGAGUUGAGCUAAUCAUAUAUAUAUAUAUAUAUGUAUAUAUAUAUAUAUAUGUAUAUAUAUAUAUAUAUAUGUAUAUAUAUAUGUAUAUAUAUAUAUAUAUAUAUAUAUAUAUAUAUAUAUAUAUAUAUAUAUAUAUAUAUAUGUAUGUAUAUAUAUAAAGGCGGCGAGCUGGCAGAACCGUUAGCACGCCGGGCGAAAUGCGUAGUCGUAUUUCGUCUGCCGCUACGUUCUGAGUUCAAAUUCCGCCGAGGUCGACUUUGCCUUUCAUCCUUUCGGGGUCGAUAAAUUAAGUACCAGUUAAGCACUGGGGUCGAUGUAAUCGUCUUAAUCCGUUUUUUCUGUCCUUGUUUGUCCCCUCUAUCUUUAGCCCCUUGUGGGUAAUAAAGAAACAUAUAUAUAUAUAUAUAUAUAUAUAUAUAUAUAUAUAUAUAUAUAUAUAUAUAUAUAUAUACAUAUAUACAUACUUGGAAAAGGAUGCGUGGCGUUCAAUCAUAUAAUAAUAUAAAUAAUAUAUAUAUGCAUAUAUACAUACGAAAAUGUACAUACAUAUGCACACUGGUCAUGUUGCUGAAUAGAGUGAUAUCAUCCAAAUACUUCAGUUCGGUAUUGUGGUAGUUCCUAAAAGUAACGCCAGAAACUCACACAGA